rnacentral:lncRNA from 1 species
AUGUUGGUGGAGCUCAAGUGCUGGCAACGGGCAAGUCUGCUGGGGAGGAAACUGAGACCAUGGCGCUAAAGAAGAGAGCCCCAAGGUUAAACCUCAGUCUCUCUGAAAGAAAUGCACAAGUGAUUGAGCUCUGAGCAAACAGCCUCUUCAGAAGGGUUUCAGCACUCUGGACUCCUGCCUACAGUUGCAGUCUUAGAGACAGCUUGAAUUUGAGCACCAAGGCUGGUGAUGGACCUUCACAAAGAACUCAAAAUCCAGAGCAAAUAAUAGAGCAUACAGAUGCUGCAAUACCUCUAUGCUAAAGGAAAAUGUUGCUUCUCUUCUACAAGAAGCUGAUUGCAUAGACAGAUGUAAGAGCAAUCUUUCCAGCAGUAAGAAAGAAUUGAAGCCAGCAAAUCUUCACUGCCUAUCCUGUUCCCCAUGUUGGAGCUGGUCAUGCUGCAUGAUGUCUUUGUGUCCAUAUCAGUGGAACCUACCUGCAGCAAAUGGCUCAUGGAAUGAGAACCAAACUCAAGACACAACUUCUUUAGCACCACCGUCUUACCAAGAGAUGAGCCACAUUUUCUAGGACUGUUAGCCUCACCUUCUUAGCUGCCAGAAGAAUCCCUCUGUCAACAUUCAAGGGCCCUGAAACAUGGAAACUAAGGGGUAGUCUCCAUUCCCAUAAAUGAAAGACAGACCUUCCAAAGGAAGAAAUGGCAGGCUGAACUGGAGUGGGAGUAAAGGGUCUGAUGGCCAUGGAAUGGGCCUGCAGCUCUGCAGCGCUUCAAAUGGUGGAGUCAACCAAGGAUUAAAUGAGAAAACAGCUGCAGUGCCUUGCAGAGAGCUAUACCAAUGCAAGUGCUUAUUGCUCUGCUUAUGGAAUUAUUUUGUGGUGAUGAUUCCAAUGCCCAUUUCUUAUCAUGGAGGACAUAACUGGCAGAGGCUUAGGAAACCCACAUCUUUAAUUAUUGCCAUAAACCUAAGUCUCUGUGGUACAGGCCGCAUUCAUAUUUCUCGCCCCUCUAAUAGUAACCCUGUAUUUCUGAGCUGUGUUAAGGAACGCUCUUUGCCCUUUCAUUCAACAGAAAUACAGGUGUCUGUAUGGACUGGCUCUUCUUAGAUUGGGUUACUCUCCUUGUGUGUGAUGAAAGAUGAGCUAUAUUUCAAAACAAAGCACUGUGUUAUAAUAAUUUGCCUGGAUUCCCAGGGCAUCUUUUAUCUGAGUUGAUAACAAUGUAGUUCAUUAGCAGCCUUUGUUAACUGAUAACCUAAAGCAGUAAUGCAAUACUCAUAAGCAAUUUUCCGUGUGUAAGAUAGAAUAAACCAUCUUGUGAGGUAUCUGG